AACGAACGCUGGCGGCGUGGAUUAGGCAUGCAAGUCGAACGGAUGUUUAGCUUUUUCGAACAUCAGUGGCGAAAGGGUGAGUAACACGUGGGAUACCUGCCCUAGAGUUCGGGAUAACCUGUCGAAAGAUGGGCUAAUACCGGAUACGUUCAUGUAUUUUCGAAUACAUGAGGAAAGAUGGGGACCUCUUCGGAGGCCUGUCACUCUUGGAUGGGCCCGCGGCCUAUCAGCUAGUUGGUGAGGUAAUGGCUCACCAAGGCUAAGACGGGUAGCUGGACUGAGAGGUUGGUCAGCCACACUGGGACUGAGACACUGCCCAGACAUCUACGGAUGGCUGCAGUCGAGAAUCUUUCGCAAUGGGGAAACCCUGACGAAGCGAACGCCGCGUGCAGGAUGAAGGUCUUCGGAUUGUAAACUGCUGUCGGCUGGGAAGAAUAAGCUGUUGAUUAAUAAU
rnacentral:rRNA from 1 species